GAGGCUUGUUGACAAAUUACUUUAUUGAUAGUUACCGAAGAAGUUUUAAAAAUAUUACUGUCAGGCCGAAACAAAUACAGUCAAACACUCUGGAUCGGCUGUGUGUCAAUCUGUUUAUCCACAUGUAAUUUUAUCUUCUAUUUCAUCCAUUUACCUUGGUGCUCUCCCCUUGGUCAGGUCAGAUGGCAGUAACAUUCUGUCUAAAAACAUAUUUUAAUUUCAUCAAAACAGGGAGGACAUGGAGGGUCAGACUGAACAGAUGACUAAGAAUUUUAAUUUCCAUUAUCACUGCACGACAUGACUCCUCUGUCAAGUUUCCAACCAACCAACCAAUUAUGUCGAGCUCUACGGACCAGUUCAAACUGUUCUUAAGUCUUUUUAACAUCUCAAUAACAACCACGUGUCUGUUUGAAACGAUUUCCUGUUUUCUCUGCGAGUCAGUGAGUAAUAACCUGGAGGUGCUUGUCACACAGUGAAAUGUCACAACAGCAGCUGUGCCGCCUUCCCUCAUGAUAGUUAAUUAAUAGGUCACAUAAACAGAUGGAUGGUUGUGUUCUCAGUUCUUCACAAACUUAAAUGGCUCAUUUUCAGCACUUCACCAGUUCUGAUAGCUACAGUAUUUAUCAGUGGUGACUGAUUUUGUCUUUUGGUGCAACAACUUUAUACUGACAUACAAAUACAAUUUAAGUGACCCUGGGUGCGUUCACACCUACAGCGUUUAGUUGGAUUGAAUCGAACUAGAGUUCGUUUUCCCUCUUGGUGCGGUUCGUUUUGUCUGGUGUGAACACGGUAAUCGCACUCGAGUGCGCACCAAAACAACCGCACCGAGACCCCCAAAAUGAGGUGGUCUCGAUCCGCAUCAUCUAGCGAACUCUGGUGCGGUCCUCCUGGUGAGAACGCGUACCGAACCAAAACGGGACCAAAGGCCGUGAAUCACAUGAUUUGAGGGCAUUGGAUUAUGGGUAGAUUUUAUUUCCUGUCACCCAAAACAUGCGCAAGGAUGAAUCGUGGGCAAACUGUACGACUUUGUUUAAGUGGAAAAUGCAAGUAACGUAAUACAAAAUAACCAGGGCGAGGCCCAACCCGCGUAUGUUGACCUCCAUCCGCUCUCGUCACAGAAACGUGGACUUUCUUUAUUUACUUUUUCUGUUCUCGCGGCAGACACAUCUGACCAAUAAUCUCGCGUAGUUUUACAUGACGUGUUUUGGUGCGCUUGGAUUUUUCUGUGUGUGAAACGAAACCGAACCAAGGAGACAUUGCAACGUUUACAAACUCGUCAACUGAUUCGGACCAAAGCAAACGAAUUAAGAACAGCAUAUCGCAUCAGAGUACACUUGGCUGUGAACAUACAGUAUCAGUGGAGAAACUGGAGCAGUGUGAAACGGUGACAAACUGUUACAGCUGAUAACAUACAUCCAGUCUGCAUGAAAGAUACCGCCAAUGAGGCCAAAGCAUGAAUAAGAGCUUUGGCACAUCCUUCAAGAUGGAGAACUGGAAUGACUUCUGGGUUGAGUGAGAAUCAAGGAGCGAGGAAUGAUCAAAUAAGGUAAUUGGGAUGCACCCAAAGUAAACCUAUGUGCACCUCUAUAGAUCACAAAUAAACACAUUAUGUUGCAUUUGUUUAAUCAAAAACUAAAGUGUAAAAGUGACAGUAGUGAUUGUGGGGGUUACUGUAUGUCCCAGACUUUCUUGGCAGGGUGAAGACUGGGCGUGGUCUCUCCAGGAAGACACUAAGCCUGGCCAAAAAAAAAAAAAAAAAAACUGUCCUGCGCAGAGUCUCAUCUUUUGUUCAGAUGAGUGUGGCAUGAACUAAUUACCUAACUCUGCAAAGAAGCAAACAAGCAUACUUAAAACACUAAAUAUGUAUGAACAUGUAUUGUAAACAACCUCAUUUACUUUCUUUUUGUUUCACUUCCUUAAACAAAUUAGACUCCUCAAACAAACAAGCUGUUGAGACAGAUUUGGGCUGAUCAGACAGCUGUUACUGUAGUCUCCUACAGCUUUUAUAUGCAGAUAUUGCAAAUAGAGUUAUGUUACAACAUGAGGGUAAAAGACAAAAUAUAUCAUCUGACUGAAUAAUUUUUUCUGGGGCUAAGACAUGCAGUAUGUUGGCUGUGGGUGAACAACAAUUACAGAUUCAUUUUUCAGUCUAGGCUGUACAUGUACACAUAAAGAGAACAUCAUACAAGUCACAAAGCUAAUGUUGGCAUGAGACAAGGCACACCCGUGGAAACAUGAGCAGAGUCCUGAUUAAUUAACAUGUCAUGUAAAGGGAUAGCUCUGAGACCUCACACACGGAAAGGCCAGCUUGGGAAUAUGCCGUGAGGUGCUGGCAAAGCUGAGGACACAGACACAGAAUGAAUGGAGAGGGUUCUAUUCAACGAACUGCAAGUUCACUAAUUGUGUUAUCUACUACACACUGUACUAUUCAGAGUAUCACAUCACCAUAAAGGCUUUUACAGGCACGAACACUGGGGUGAUGAGAUAAAUAAAAAAUUCAACAUGGAUUAAAUCCUCUACGUCAGUUCCUCAGCAUCUGACCAUCUCAAAUGCCAUUUUAAAAGACAGUACUUUGUAAAUUAAAGUCUGAUUCCAUCAAAGUUAAUGUUAAUGACCUAAUUUGACCAGAAAUGUUAAAAAGACAUAAGAAAACAAACAUUUUUUGUUUGUUCAUCAUGUAAAAUGUUAGCUGAUGAGUAAUUUAAUUGUUUGAUUUAGAUUAAUUUAAAGAUCUUGGCUAAGUGUGAGAUCAGUUUUAGAUUUAGCCCCCUAGAAACAAGAAAGUAAAUCUCAAGAUCCACCUCACCACACAAAUGCAGAUGAAAGCUCUGGGAAAAGCUACUAAGUUGAUUGUAUGUUAAGGUUUCUUUGAUCCAGAUUUUAUAAAUUUUGGUUUUAGGUAAAUUUGACAAACCAACUUCAACUCUGAACUCGACAGAACAUGGCGUCACAAGCUAAAUGAAGAAAUGGAUGCUACUGCGCUGCAGCUACAACAAGAGACAAAGCUACCGUGUCUGAUUUCACCUCAUUCACCUCCUUCCACUCACGCAAAGCACACAAAACAUGAAUAAACUGGUCCACACAAGCCAGGAAAGCAGGACACACAGUGGAGUAGGCUGUGCUGACUAAUGAAAGUUAACUCUAUGGCGAGACCAGAGUCUUUUCCAGUAAUGUCACCAUGGUCAUCAUCUUAAGUUUUGAUUAACUAUUUUUUAAUAUAAAAAAUAAUAGCAAAAAAGGCAAUUUAACAAAUGGGUCAAAGAGCAACUGCACCCGGUCUAAAAAUCCUGCUUGACCUCACUUUUUUUACUGAAAUUUUUUGAACAGAGAAAACAGAGGUUACUCAGUCAGAUGUUAGAAACCUAAGUCUUCUAGCAUUCAUGCCUCUUCCUCCUCUGAAGUCAGAGGUUAAAUGUCAUUUUUUUCCCACCAAGUGAAGAACAUUGAUUAUGUUGGUACAGUUGUGAGAGGAUUCCUCUGGAGUCAGCAGUUUGUUUUUCAGAGGUUUUUUUUGUUAGUUUUUUAUUUUAUUUUAUUGCAGACAUAAAAAUCUUCAGAAGGUAUGCAUCACUCUUACUGCAGCAGGCGGGAAUAUUUCAAGAAAAAAGAAGUGAAAAAGAAAUCAAGUUGCAGGUCGAGAACUUCUGAAACUAAAUCACCUACUUCUCUGGACAGAUGAACAAAAUCAAAACAUACUGUAUGAAAUGUACCGUACAGACAUGGCUCGCUGACACUGAUCCAAGCUCCUUAACAUGUUUAUUUAAUGUUGUGCUGCUCUAGUAUCACUUCAGGUGUGAACCAAUCCACUGGUUACUAAGAAAGGAUUAUGAGAAAAUGGGCCUCAGGUCACACACAGGGAAAAGGCCGCCCACCACUCCUACAUACAGCAGGACCCAAGACUAAAAGAGAAACAGUGCUCUGCAUGCAUUUGUAAUCAUCUUGUAGCUUUUUGUGGCCAUUUUGUGUCUCUUUGUUUUCUGUCUCUGUUUUGUGUCAUUGCUGUUCGGUAAUACAUCCAUGCCAGUUGCAUACAAACAGGUCUACAUGUACAGUAUGUACAGUAUGUAAAGUACUUUAUUCAUCCAAACACACACACACACAUAAAUGCAUGCAAUGGUAGUAUUAUUAUCUCCACCAGCAAAACGCACACACACUCACUCCCUACUGACUGAGGCAAGGAGCUGAAUUCAUACUUUCUCGCUCGCUCGCUCGCUCUCACUCUCUCUCUCUCUCACGCACAACGUUUCUUGCUUGCUUUGCUUUUGCACCAAACACAGGGCCACUUGCUGUGCUGAGAUAUCUACAUGUUUAUUACUGUGUGUGUGUGUGAACUUUGUAUUACUUACACUGUGAGCACACUCACACUGUGGGGACUUGGCCUCUCGUGUGGACCAUAUCUGUGUUUUGUGCUAGCUCAGCCUCACGGUUAACUGCAAACUUACCAAGAACUGCAGUUAUUUCUGUCCAGAACCCUUCUCUCACUUUUCAUAUGCUCAUGAAGUGGAGUUACAAAACCUUUAAAUAAAAAUUAAUUUGUUAAACUAAAAUAUUUUCAGUUCAAUCAGACACACUUUCACUUCAGCUUGUGCCACCCUGAGCGAAACGUGUUCGUGUACACUUUUUCUUUACAUUGAUAUGUUACUUCUAAAGUUUACUGAGCAUUUAAUCUGAUGAUGCAUUGGUAGAAGCAACAUUUAUAGGUUGCACAGCUGCAUAUAUUGUCAGUAGAAGGAUGUGUGGAUGUGAACAGAUCCUAGUUGAAAAUGAAUACACAAAAGGCAGGAGGAAAUAAUACAACAAAGAACUGGGCUUCCUGGUUUUCAGAAAAUUAUCCCGUUAAGUAUGUGGCUACAGCUUAUGUCAGUACAUUGGCUGUGUGAGGCAAAAAAAUGAGGACAGCUAAAAUGUUGAGUGACCAAGUUUGCUCGGAUUGAGUGAGCUACAAAUUAGCUUCUUGCUCAAUCGCGUCUUAAUAAUGGGGAAAUGAUUUGCUCUAGUUUUGCUAUAUUUUUUUUUACCAUAAAUGAAAUAAAACUUUCAUGUAUAGAUGAGAUAACAUAAUUUGUUGUCUAACCAUAUGGUUCCUUUGCUAAACUGUAGGUUCAAGCUAUAUGCCACACAUUAUAGAGACCUGACAGCACUGCAAGUAACAAAAGCAAGAAUGAGACACAGUGUUUCGAGUUAAAUGCACCGGAUCAUCACUGACAACGCUAUUCUUUCAUCCACCGCUUACAUCCAAAUUCAUGUUUGUUCAUGAGUCAUGAGAGGGCAAAGAAGAACACAAAAGGUCUGAAGAAUGGGCAAGAAUUAGAAUAGAUUCAGCCUCAGCAUUGAGUCAGUGAUAUGCUGUUUCUUCUUCAGGAUGGCUAUGAUGAGGGAAUGUGAAUCUCUAUUAAAUCUGAGUCACGCUGAUGCUUUCAUGUGGCUUCUGGCUGGUUAGGAAACAAUUUGAUGUUGAACAAAGCUUCCUGUUCUUUCCCCUUCGAGGACUGUGUAAAACGAUUGACGUAGUUCAGAAUCGGUCCACACCUACUCAGCAUACAUAGUUUUUAUCUGCUCACUGAGUCUAAGUGGGAUCUGUGGCAGCGCAUCCAUUCACUACUGCAUCUUUGUCAUCGCCUUUGCAAUGUAUUUUUAUGUAGACAGUCGAGGAAUUGAUUGAAAGACGGAAGUUGAGAAAGUCAACCCACGCAACCAUGUGUUUGUGACUAAACCAAACCAAACCCUUCUCAUAUUUGAGAGUUUUAUGACAGGGUAGGGUAUAAAAUACCAGAUGGGCUAGAUUCAGCCCACUCAGGCCAUAAGAUCAGAAAGCAGCCCACUGACGCCAUGAGAUCAGGGAUAUUACGGAAACCAGAAUGGAAGUGUGUCCUCAAAAUCAUAAUGGGAUACUGCUGUAGACAGCUGCACCCUAUUUCUAGGGUUUUAAGCUUGUAAAGGUCAGAGAGAGUAGGCUUUUCUGAGAUACUACAGAAAAAUGUUUAUGGAAAUGCAUUUUAAGCAGCUGAGUAUGACUCAGAGUAAAUCUGAUGAUCUGAUGCAUCAUAUCACACAUUUCCCUUCUUGAUUAGCACAUUACAGAGACACUAUCUUCUGUGCAAUUACAUUUCCUAGUGUUUCAGCUGCCUACAUGACGGAUUCAGCUAUAGCACCAUAAAACCUAACAGAAGGCACACUAGAUGCAUCAUGACCUAAUUUCACUGACAUCACAGCUGCCUCUGGGGAGACAAAACAAGGUGACUGGAGAUGGCAGGUAGUGCGGAGACAACUCGAUCCAUCUCAGGUUGCUGUCCCAUGAAGGGGCACCACGGGCUGCUGCUGGAGCCAGACGGGACCUGGUGUGCUUCUGUCAGGUGCCUCAGGGAGUUGCCACAUGGUUGGACUCAGCAGUGAGGAGAGGGUUAUUCUAUUGUUCAUUUCACAUUCUCAAAGGUUAUUUUUUCAUGUGAUAAUUGUUUAGUUUGUUGUAUAUCAGGGACGACUUUUUAAAAUGUAUUGUAAAUGAGAUGACGUUAAUUCAAAGUUUGUGUUGGAUUAUAUGAUUUUAGUGCUAUUAAUACAUUUAUAUUACAAAUUAGACAGUUAUUGCAUCGUCUUUACUGUUUCAAGAAAUUCUAGGUUUUCUGAAACAAUUCAUGUCCCAAUCACAGUUUAUGAAUUACAGAGGAAUAAGUUUUACAUGCCUUAAGCUGUCUCAUUCAAUCCACAUGCAUUUUUCAUUUCAGUAUUUACAGUAUAAGACAAAGAUAGGAGGAAAUUCACAUCUUGGAUAUUAUCCUGUACCCUCAAGGGAUGAACGACAGAGAAUUUAUGAAUAUAAAUGUGCUCACCCAAAAGUGAUUCCCAGAUUCCAGAGUCUUCCCCCAAGUCAUCCUCUUAGUGAUGAGAUCUGAAACUUCAUAUCCACUGCAUCAGGUUAAAAAACUGUUCACCAUCACAUUCUGCAAACCUGGAAACCUCAGCUCUGUGUGUCUGAAAUGUAUAGUAAUUUUAUUAUGGGACAAAGCAUUUAAUUUUUGAAAUGAAUAAUUAGUUUGUAAUAAUGAUUACAGCUAGAAAUCUUUGAUAAAUUUAAUCACAGUCAGAAGUUAAAAGCAGCAUGUAACGUUUUCUAAGUAGCUGAAAAAUCCCCUAAACAUAUCUUAAUGUGGAGAGCUGUUGUGAAAGCUUUCUGUGACCCGGUCUCACUGAACAGCCUGGCACCAGUGUAGACAUAUCUCCUUCUAAGGUUUCUGGGGUGAGACCUUUAGGAAUGUGAGGAAAAGCCACAACAACUUUGGUAAUUAACAAAUAUUGAAUCAAAAGAGAAGAUGACAAACCAUAACUUAAAGUGUAGUUCAGUGUUGUGUCUUCAUAUUCAAGCAUACCUGGUAAGUCAACCAAUGUGGCAUAAUAUCCAUAUCCAGAGAAAUAGGUACAUUUAUUAAAAGAAUUAAAUAACGGUGAGCAUGGAAAAUAAAUAUUAGGAGAGUCUGACUAUGUGCAAGAAGGACUCAGAGAGAGACUGCCAGACUUUUUGCAAGAACCAUAAACAGCGUAGGACUCAUGCAAACAGAAACAGAGAUUUGUUUUUGAAACUGUUUUGCAAUGGAAAAUAUCCACCCAGCAGCCAGGGUGUCUGUGAGGAAAACAUUAUGAAGUUAAUGACAGUGAGUAACAUGACAUUCACAUGCAUUGCGCACACACACACACACACACAAACACAAACACAAACACCACAGAUUGAAGGUUAUACUUUAUCAACCUACUCAUUCCCCAUAUUGCUUAGCACAUUACAACACUAAACAUAAUCUAUGAAUGCUCAUCGUUGAUGUUUACAUUGUGCUUUGAUUUAGCAGCUUAUUCAAGUUUUUAAUAGAACAUUCCAAGUUACACCAUAAAGAAGAACAUAAGGAAGAAGAUGAGAAGAAAAAAGUAAAUGAGUGGCAUACAUGAACUAUACAGCUUUUUGAAUAUGUGACUGACCACCCUGAUAGGCCCCGAUAAACUGAAAGGCUGGUCACCUAUCUUUUAUUUUGUAUGGUAAGUUAUUGAUGAGUCUGGUGUGUUUAAUCUCGUGGAGUUUCUUCUAACUUUGUAAAUAAAACAUGUUUUCAUGUACAGUGGAUUCAAAGAGGAUUCAACCCAUUCACUUCUUUGCAGGAUUUCUUGUGUGAAGAUUUAAUUUAAAAUACUUGACCAGCUGCAUCAC